rnacentral:rRNA from 1 species
CGCGGCAGCUUACCAUGCAGUCGAGCGGUAACAGGGGGUGCUUGCACCCCGCUGACGAGCGGCGGACGGGUGAGUAAUGCAUAGGAAUCUGCCCAGUAGUGGGGGAUAGCCCGGGGAAACCCGGAUUAAUACCGCAUACGCCCUUUGGGAGAAAGCAGGGGAUCUUCGGACCUUGCGCUAUUGGAUGAGCCUAUGUCGGAUUAGCUAGUUGGUGGGGUAAAGGCCUACCAAGGCGACGAUCCGUAGCUGGUCUGAGAGGAUGAUCAGCCACAUCGGGACUGAGACACGGCCCGAACUCCUACGGGAGGCAGCAGUGGGGAAUAUUGGACAAUGGGGGCAACCCUGAUCCAGCCAUGCCGCGUGUGUGAAGAAGGCUUUCGGGUUGUAAAGCACUUUCAGUGAGGAGGAAAACCUUCUGGUUAAUACCCAUGAGGCUUGACGUUACUCACAGAAGAAGCACCGGCUAACUCCGUGCCAGCAGCCGCGGUAAUACGGAGGGUGCAAGCGUUAAUCGGAAUUACUGGGCGUAAAGCGCGCGUAGGUGGUUUGAUAAGCGAGAUGUGAAAGCCCCGGGCUUAACCUGGGAACGGCAUUUCGAACUGUCAGGCUA